UACAGAGGUCUCAAGCGUUGUCCGGAUUCAUUGGGCGUAAAGGGCGCGUAGGCGGCCAUCUAAGUCAGACGUGAAAUCCCCCGGCUUAACCUGGGAACUGCGUCUGAUACUGGACGGCUUGAGUAUGGGAGAGGGAUGUAGAAUUCCAGGUGUAGCGGUGAAAUGCGUAGAUAUCAAGAGGAACACCUGAGGUGAAGGCGGGUUGCUGGGCUGACACUGACGCUGAGGCGCGAAAGCUAGGGUAGCAAACGGG
rnacentral:rRNA from 1 species